rnacentral:rRNA from 1 species
ACUCCUACGGGAGGCAGCAGUGGGGAAUAUUGCACAAUGGGGAAACCCUGAUGCAGCCAUGCCGCGUGUGUGAAGAAGGCCUUCGGUUGUAAAGCACUUUCAGUAGGGAGGAAGGUAGUGUAGUUAACACCUGCAUUAUUUGACGUUACCUACAGAAGAAGCACCGGCUAACUCCGUGCCAGCAGCCGCGGUAAUACGGAGGGGUGCGAGCGUUAAUCGGAAUUACUGGGCGUAAAGCGCAUGCAGGCGGCCUGUUAAGUCAGAUGUGAAAGCCCGGGGGCUUAACCUCGGAAUUGCAUUUGAAACUGGCAGGCUAGAGUCUUGUAGAGGGGGGUAGAAUUUCAGGUGUAGCGGUGAAAUGCGUAGAGAUCUGAAGGAAUACCAGUGGCGAAGGCGGCCCCCUGGACAAAGACUGACGCUCAGAUGCGAAAGCGUGGGGAGCAAACAGGAUUAGAUACCCUGGUAGACUGUCA